AACCACAACAAAGAAGGAUUGUAGAUUGAAUGGUCCUCAAAGGUCGGUUUCCCUUAUUCUGGAUCUAGGGUUUACUUUUCCUCUGUCCAUUGCUGCCAGAACUUGCACACUGAGCUGAGAUUGUGCACCCGAGGCGGAGGAUCCUGCCCACGGGAGUUGCGACAACAGGCAGGAAUUUGGAUGUCUGGUUUCAGAUGGUAACACUGUCGGGAGGAAAAUAAGAAUUAGAGAUAUAAACAAAAAUUGCGGUGGUUCAACGGCACCGGAGGAGGUUGUGUGUCUUUCAGAUGGAAUUCUGCAAAGUAUCUCGAAAUUUGAAGAACUUUGUUGUUCGAGGUUUCUGUUUCUGAUGUGCGUGCCCUGGGCUUGUUGUUGGGGGAGCCAUUGAGUAGAUAAUAGGAAGAUGGGCAGGUGUUAAAGAAUUUCCUCGAGCACCAUCGCCAUUGACCGCCACUAGAAUUAAAUGGAGCCAACGGAGCCUUCUCCGUUAGCUGAAGGCAUCCUUUACUGGAAUUUGGAGGGAAGGAAGGUGGUGCUGGAGGAGGCGGGGAAAGCAGUAAGGAGAGUGAAGGAGAUUCUUAGUUGGUCCUCUGUUUGGGAUCCCUCUGCUGCGGAGUACUGCUUGCUCAGUGUUCGAAGCAAUGCUCAACUCAAUGGACAUAUAAUCCAUGGGUGAGGAUCUCGUGUGAGAACUCGAUUCCAACUCCCAGUGUAUCCACAUCGAACUGAAUUGCCGGCUCGAUUAUACAUCUGCAUCCACUAGCUUUAAAAAACUGCUGCAAUGGCUUUUGCAACGAAUACGGAGCUUUUUUAAAAUAUGUGCGAAUUAUCUCGUCGACUUGAUUUGACUUUAUCAGUACCCCCCUCCUGUGUGUCACGUCUCGUAGGGAGAAUCUACAUAAACUUGAUCCUGAAGUUGACUUAUAUUUUGGAGAGAGCUGGGCGGAAAGGGAAAACCAAAAGCCAGAAAUGUGGUAAUUAUCUCGAUUGAGUUCCCAUUGGUUUUUCCUGUUUCGGAAUUUCCGCUCUGAAAGCGGUCAUCUCAAUAUAAUUGCGUUCCAAAGGCACUUUACGGCGUGAAGUGAUGGACCUAGAAUCGGAGGUACAGGUUGAGAGAAGCGGGGCGAUCUUUCUGCAGUGAACUCGGUGGGAUUGUUGCAUUACCGAGGAAGCCAAGGAUCUGGAUGCCACAUCUUAAGUAUUUACAUCUUGUCAUUCCUUUCGAACACAGGUGCCACCUUCUGAUCGCAUUAGUUGUACUUGUUCGUAUGGAGUUCGGACAGCGACCUUAGAGUUGUAAGCAAGUUCUCUAUUGCUUAGAGUCUAAAAUUUACACAUCCAGUAUACACUAUUUACGUUGUUAUUUUGUCACGAAGAAUCCUAUGAGAGUUCAACAAUGCUGUAUUCGACGCCUUCUUUCAUCCUUUAAGAGACAUUCGAAGGACAAGCAUUUGUUGCUCGGCUUUGUAACAAAUGACUAACUGAUGAAAGUUCAUAUGCUUCAAAAUGAUCAGAGAGUUGUGCUGAAACCCAGGAAUACAGAAAACUGACAGUAGGACACAUGGAGAGGCACUAAGUAAAAGAGUUUGCGUCCUUAAACACUCCGACAUAAUGGACGAUGGCCGUGGAGAUUGAAGAUAUGCUGUACAGGUGAGCUCUUCGGUCUUUUGUGUGUCCCUCUGUCGCCUCAGAAAUCAUGCAUAUUGUUCUGGUUUCAGACGGGCUGAAUUUGCAGAUUAGUGGCACUAAGCUCAUCCCAGCUUGUUUAACCACCGUGGUCCUGACCACAAGAAGUCCACGAUAUCGUCGCCCACAAGGUUUCUAAUGCCAUUCGUAAUUCGUUGUUUGUUGUGGCAAGCAUCUCUUGCGCCAUUGCUAACGCUGCAAGAGUUUGAGCUUCCUUAGUUUCGCUUUCUAACGUUAGCGAGGCUUGUUCUGAUACUGUCUUUAAUGCAGCUCAAUUGGGUGUUGUCCCAAAACCUUGUGCAUUCUUUUCUUUUCUUUGAAUUCUCUACAAUACAUCCCCGUGUACCAAUCUGUCAAAUCUCAUCAAAAGUAGUAAAUUUCGGUAGGAUUUUAAA